rnacentral:rRNA from 2 species
CAUGCAAGUCGAGCGGAAGAUGGGAGCUUGCUCCCUGAUGUUAGCGGCGGACGGGUGAGUAACACGUGGGUAACCUGCCUGUAAGACUGGGAUAACUCCGGGAAACCAGGGCUAAUACCGGAUGGUUGUCUGAACCGCAUGGUUCAGACAUAAAAGGUGGCUUCGGCUACCACUUACAGAUGGACCCGCGGCGCAUUAGCUAGUUGGUGAGGUAACGGCUCACCAAGGCGACGAUGCGUAGCCGACCUGAGAGGGUGAUCGGCCACACUGGGACUGAGACACGGCCCAGACUCCUACGGGAGGCAGCAGUAGGGAAUCUUCCGCAAUGGACGAAAGUCUGACGGAGCAACGCCGCGUGAGUGAUGAAGGUUUUCGGAUCGUAAAGCUCUGUUGUUAGGGAAGAACAAGUGCCGUUCAAAUAGGGCGGCACCUUGACGGUACCUAACCAGAAAGCCACGGCUAACUACGUGCCAGCAGCCGCGGUAAUACGUAGGUGGCAAGCGUUGUCCGGAAUUAUUGGGCGUAAAGGGCUCGCAGGCGGUUUCUUAAGUCUGAUGUGAAAGCCCCCGGCUCAACCGGGGAGGGUCAUUGGAAACUGGGGAACUUGAGUGCAGAAGAGGAGAGUGGAAUUCCACGUGUAGCGGUGAAAUGCGUAGAGAUGUGGAGGAACACCAGUGGCGAAGGCGACUCUCUGGUCUGUAACUGACGCUGAGGAGCGAAAGCGUGGGGAGCGAACAGGAUUAGAUACCCUGGUAGUCCACGCCCGUAAACGAUGAGUGCUAAGUGUUAGGGGGGUUUCCGCCCCCUUAGUGCUGCCGCUUAANNCAUUAAAGCACCUCCGCCUGGGGGAGUACCGGUCGCAAAGACUGGAAACUCCAAAGGGAAUUUGACGGGGGGGCCCCGCACCAA